rnacentral:rRNA from 1 species
UACAGAGGUCUCAAGCGUUGUUCGGAUUCAUUGGGCGUAAAGGGCGCGUAGGUGGCGGGGUUAGUCAGGUGUGAAAUCUCGGGGCUCAACCCCGAAACUGCACUUGAUACUGCCUUGCUAGAGUACUGGAGAGGAGAUUGGAAUUUACGGUGUAGCAGUGAAAUGCGUAGAUAUCGUAAGGAAGACCAGUGGCGAAGGCGAAUCUCUGGACAGUUACUGACACUGAGGCUCGAAGGCCAGGGGAGCAAACGGG